rnacentral:rRNA from 1 species
UACGUAGGGGGCGAGCGUUGUCCGGAGUUACUGGGCGUAAAGGGCAUGCAGGCGGUCGGACGCGUUUCGGGUGACAGCGGGUGGCUUAACUACCCGAGUGGUCGAAAGACGGUUUGACUUGAGGACGCGAGAGGGACACGGAAUUCCGGGUGGAGUGGUGAAAUGCGUAGAGAUCCGGAGGAACACCAGUGGCGAAGGCGGCUACCUGGACCAGCACUGACACUGAGGCACGAAAGCGUGGGGAGCAAACAGG